rnacentral:misc_RNA from 1 species
UCGUGCUGGGGAUAGAGCAUUGCAAUUAUUGCUCUUUAACGAGGAAUCCCUAGUAAGCGUGAGUCAUCAGCUCGCGUUGAUUACGUCCCUGCCCUUUGUACACACCGCCCGUCGCUACUACCGAUUGAAUGGCUUAGUGAGACCCUCGGAUUGGUAUUCGAUGGUUGGCAACAACUCGUCGUUCUCUGAAAAGUUGGUCAAACUUGGUCAUUUAGAGGAAGUAAAAGUCGUAACAAGGUUUCCGUAGGUGAACCUGCGGAAGGAUCAUUAACAAAGGCGAGUUUCUAGUUUUAGAUUCUUGCUCGAUCAACCAACCAAAAACCUGUGUAUAUUUUAUAGAUGUAUUAUCUAUCAUCAUGUCACAUAUUAUAAUAAUAAAACAAAACUUUCAACAACGGAUCUCUUGGCUCUUGCAUCGAUGAAGAACGCAGCGAAUUGCGAUAAGUAGUGUGAAUUGCAGAAUUCCGUGAAUCAUCGAAUCUUUGAACGCAUAUUGCACUCUUUGGUAUUCCGAAGAGUAUACCUGUUUGAGGGUCAUUGGAAUAAUAAUCUUGAUCAAUUAAUCAAGGAAAAUGAGUUAUCCGUCGCUUNNCUUAUACAGGUGAUGGUGACUUGAAAAUAAUGCUGGUCUUGGCUUGCAAGAGACGCGUAUUUAGGGUGGCAUUGCCUCCAGAUUUUCGCAACCAUCAAGUCAAUUUCGGAUAGUNNNNNUUGAUUCUUUCAAGAUUGAAAGAAUCAUAACAUAGAUUUUUAAUUAAUCGUGACCUCAAAUCAGGUAAGAGUACCCGCUGAACUUAAGCAUAUCAAUAAGCGGAGGAAAAGAAACUAACCAGGAUUCCCCUAGUAACGGCGAGUGAAGCGGGAACAGCCCAAAUUUUAAAUCGAUCCUUGUGGUCGAGUUGUAAUUUGAAGAAUUACUUUCCAUAUCUUGAUCCGGUAAAAAGUCCCUUGGAAUAGGGCAUCAUAGAGGGUGAUAAUCCCGUAUUUUGUCGUGAUCAGAUGUCUUGUGAAGUGAUUUCAAAGAGUCGAGUUGUUUGGGAUUGCAGCUCAAAAUUGGUGGUAAAUUCCAUCUAAGGCUAAAUAAUGGCAAGAGACCGAUAGCGAACAAGUACCGUGAGGGAAAGAUGAAAAGAACUUUGAAAAGAGAGUUAAACAGUACGUGAAAUUGUUGAAAGGGAAACGAUUGAGGCCAGUCAUGCCUGCGAAAAAUCAAUCAAUAGAUUUGUCUUUGGAUAAAAUUAUUUGAUGCACUUUUUCGCGUGGCAGGUUAGCAUCAACUUUAAUUUUUGUAAAAUGGUGGUUGGAAUGUGACUCUUUAUAGAGUGUUAUAGCCGGCUACAGAUGCAAGGAAUAAGGUUGAGGAUUGCGACAAAUGCCUUUGGGGUACAUACCUUCCUUCUGAUUCGUUCACUUUGGAACGACAGCUUGCUGACGUUUUGGAGGGCGUUCGAUCAAUAGGGUAGAGUUAUGAUAAAUUUGUCAAGGAUGCUGACGUAAUGACCUUAAACGACCCGUCUUGAAACACGGACCAAGGAGUCUAACAUACGUGCGAGUGUUUGGGUGGCAAACCCAUACGCGUAAUGAAAGUGAACGUAGGUGGGAUUUGUCUUUUUUGGGACAAAGCACCAUCGACCGAUCUUGAAAUAU